rnacentral:rRNA from 1 species
CCCUUAGAUGUUCUGGGCCGCACGCGCGCUACACUGAUGCAUUCAACGAGCACCCGCUGGGCCGAGAGGUCCGGCUAAUCUUUGAACGUGCAUCGUGCUGGGGAUAGAUGAUUGCAAUUAUUCAUCUUCAACGAGGAAUUCCUAGUAAACGCAAGUCAUCAGCUUGCAUUGAUUACGUCCCUGCCCUUUGUACACACCGCCCGUCGCACCUACCGAUUGAAUGGUCCGGUGAAGCCUCCGGAUUGGCGCGCACCUCGGUGCCGCCGAGAAGUUGGCUAAACCUUACCAUUUAGAGGAAGGUGAAGUCGUANCA